GCACAAGCGGUGGAGCAUGUGGUUAAUUCGAAGCAACGCGAAGAACCUUACCAGGUCUUGACAUCCCUGACAACCCGAGAGAUCGGGCGUUCCCCCUUCGGGGGACAGGGUGACAGGUGGUGCAUGGUUGUCGUCAGCUCGUGUCGUGAGAUGUUGGGUUAAGUCCCGCAACGAGCGCAACCCUCGACCUUAGUUGCCAGCAUUCAGUUGGGCACUCUAAGGUGACUGCCGGCUAAAAGUCGGAGGAAGGUGGGGAUGACGUCAAAUCAUCAUGCCCCUUAUGACCUGGGCUACACACGUGCUACAAUGGGCGGUACAAAGGGUCGCGAACCCGCGAGGGGGAGCCAACCCCAAAAAGCCGCUCUCAGUUCGGAUUGCAGGCUGCAACUCGCCUGCAUGAAGCCGGAAUCGCUAGUAAUCGCGGAUCAGCAUGCCGCGGUCGAAUACGUUCCCGGGCCUU
rnacentral:rRNA from 1 species